CCUACGGGAGGCAGCAGUGGGGAAUAUUGCACAAUGGGGGAAACCCUGAUGCAGCGACGCCGCGUGAGUGAAGAAGCGUUUCGGCGCGUAAAGCUCUGUCAGCGGGGAAGAAACACGGUUCGCGAGAGCCGCGGACGGUACCCGACCAAGAAGCCCCGGCUAACUACGUGCCAGCAGCCGCGGUAAUACGUAGGGGGCAAGCGUUAUCCGGAUUCACUGGGUGUAAAGGGAGCGUAGACGGCGAGACAAGUCUGGAGUGAAAGGCCGGGGACCCACCCCGGGACAGCUCUGGAAACUGCCUGGCUUGAGGAGAGGAGAGGUAAGUGGAAUUCCUAGUGUAGCGGUGAAAUGCGUAGAUAUUGGGAGGAACACCAGUGGCGAAGGCGGCAUACUGGACUGUAACUGACGUUGAGGCUCGAAAGCGUGGGGAGCGAACAGGAUUAGAUACCCGGGUAGUC
rnacentral:rRNA from 1 species